rnacentral:lncRNA from 1 species
AGCAUUUACUGCCUCGACCUUAUUUUUAUCUACCGACAUUAAAAAAUUUGAAACGCGCUCUAUUUGUGAGACUUUAAAAAAUUUACCCACACCUCUGUAAAAGCAUACCUAAGGGUCUCUAUUAUUAUUAUUAUUAUUGUGGAUUACUACUCAUAAAAGCUUUGUAUAGUGUAGUGGGAGAGAGAGAGGCAUAAAUACAUGCUAACAACAUGGCAAACGGUGCCGCCGGAGUAGGUGCAAUUGCAGGUGACAGCAUUUUUUUUCAGAUCAACAAACCAUCCCCCUCUUCCACUGCAUGGAUCUACACUUAAAUUCCAGUCCGUCUUCCCUAGCUUGUCGGCUAUGUCUCGCAAAGCUUUCACUGCACCAAAAUGAGACAAUUAAGGAAAUUUUGAGUUAAGGAAAUUUGGUGCAUACAAGAAAAUACAAAGAAAUAAAGAUUAUGCACAAUAGAACAAAGGAGCUAGCCUUCUUACAAUCUUUACCAUCAAUUUUUUUUAUGUGUAAAAUAACAAGUAUAAUAUACAUCGCUGUGAAUUAAAGAUUCUGGAGUAAAGCUCGUUAUGUUCUCCAGCCUAAGUAUAUAUACUUUUUAUUUUAUCUAUAAAACUUCCCUCCUUUCGUCGAGGUUAAAAAAAUGGCAAUAGUAACUGCAAAAACUUCUUUUAUUUGCCUCUAGCUAGCUAGCAUACCUUCAUCUUCCGGCAAGGUGGCUCCAGAAGCAAGAGUUAUGAGGGCAAAGGCAGCAAGUGAAGGAAAAAGAAGAUGAUGAAGAAACAUUUUUUUUUCCCCCUCAAAAAAAUCAGCUGGCUGCUUCAAUUCGAGAGUGAAAAAUGAUUAAUUUGGUGAAUUAGUUGCAAAAUUUAUGAUUUAGGUAUCAGGAAGAUGGGAGUUGAUUUUGGAGGCUGCAGGAAAAAAAGGAUGGAGUCUUUUUUGAAUGGAAAUGUUAUGGAGGCUUCAGUUGCUCAUUAAUGAAGGGCCAGAGCGAGAAGAGAGUAGGGCCGGUAGAAGAUUGGUCCAUAUGCCAUUUCAUCAAAUCAUUUUGUAAUUAUUGAUGGUUUUAUACUUUUUUGGUUGCAACUUGUGUAUGAAAUUUAAAGUGAAAAUGAGACGAGACUACUUUGAUAAAUAAUGAAUUAUUAUUAAGGAUCCAGCUAUGGUGCCACAGUUGUAUGGUACCACAGCUGGAUCCAACCAUUAGAUCUAGCUCUGGUGAUAACUGUAGGCUAGAUCCAAUGGUUGGAUCCAUCUGUGGUACCAUACAACAGUGGUACCACAGAUUUGUCCUAUUAUUAAAUGAAAAAUGGUAAAGUGGUUAGGCCGAUAAACCACUGACAAAAUGAAAUAUAACACCAUAUAACUUUUAUAGUAUUAUUUGAUUGUUUUAUUUUUUUAUUUUUCUCUAACAAGGCAUGAAUGUUAUAAUUUAUACUAUUAUUAGUCUUUUUGUUCAAAUAUCAAUAUUCUAAAAGUACAUUUAUAUAUUUUUGUAUUUAAUAACCCAUACCAUUACAAAUAUUAAAAAUACAUCCUAUUUAAUGCCAACAAGUCCUGCCGUUCAGACUUCGCAAAUGAAUCCAUCUUGGCGGCUUAGUACAGUUUCGUCAAUCUCACCUUUUCACUCUCAAUUUUUGGACUUUUUUCUCCUUGUUUUGUCCAUGUUUGUGCUGACAAAGGACAGCAAUUUGGAUUUGGAUCUCCUGUUUGUGUGACGUCUUCAAAUUUCAUGUUCAAUAAAUUCGGAGCCAUUCUUUUUUUUUUUUGGUUGAAAAUUUUUCAAAAACACCAACCGUCCGUUUAAUUUAGCUUGACAUGGAUAUAAUAAUAUACUAUUUAUAUAAUCUUCUAGAAAGGAAAAAAAAAAUGUCUCCCCUUAAUUAAGUGCGUGUUUGGUAUUACUUAUCUAAUGAUUAUAAAUACUUAUUUUAUCCUAUUAGUUCUUAUCAUAAUUUUUGUUAUUGUUUAGUUGUUUUUUAGUAGAGUUUUUGAAACUUAAAUAAGUUAUUUUGUCUCAACUAGCAAAAGUUCAAAAUUUGAAAUUUUAGGAGUAGAGGUUAAAAAGUUCUUUUUUAUAUGUUAAAAUAUCCAAAAUAUCUUCUACUUAUUUGAUAAUCUUGUUUUAUUCUUUUCAUAAUAUAACUUUAAAAAGCUGGCCUAUCAAAGUAAUUUCAUAAAUUUUGAAUAAAAUCUCUCACUGACAACUAAAGAACUAAAAUUUAUUAGGUAAAAUCUCUAUUUGUAAAAACUCUACUAACAAAAACUUUUCUUAAAAAACUGUACCAAAUGGAGUCUAAGUGUAUGGUGGUAAUAUUUUCACUCUUUAAAUUGCACCACCUGCCCACUUUAAAAAAUUAAUUAUAAAAACUUCACAUUGUAUUUUAAUAAUUUUAAAGUAAGAAUAAUUUAAAUAACUAACCAGCUAAAUUCUCUCAACAUGAUUAUUAAGCAUUAAUUAAGUUAAUGAAAUGUAUUUGUAAUGUGGUAUACUCAUAAAAUUUAUUGGCUAUGAAAUUUAUGCUACUUACCUCAGUAAAUGUAUUGGUUAUGAGAUGGAUCUAAUUAAUUAACUAUUAAAACUUUUUCUCAAUUUUGAAGAUAAAAAAUAAUGUGAAAUUUUAUAAAUAAUUUCUUAAAAUGGUUGAUUUACAUAAAUUAUAAGUGAAAAUAUCCCCACCCUUAAGUGCAAUCUCUUUUUUUUUUUUUUCCUUUUUUAAGGAAAAAUAAUACCAACACCCUCAUGAUUUAAAUAACUGAUCACAAAGACUCCUUAUUUUUAAAAAUUGUCAUACAAACCUCUUUUUAAAGAUACACAGUUCCUUUUAUAUUUAGAAAUGGUCACACAAAUCCUAGGACAUAUUUCCAUUUAAAAAUUAUCAUAGACUCACAUAUACCCUAAAUGUUUGUACAAAAGGGAGCCGAUGUGUCUCAAUGGGGGUUUGUGUGAUCAUUUCUAAAAAUAUGAGGUUUUUGUGAUUAUUUCAUCAAACCAUGAGGGUUUUGAUGUUCCUUUCCCAUUUUUAAGGGGUGGUAAUAUUUCACCCUACACUUUUUGUUAACCCACUCCACUUCUAGAAAAUAACUAUAAAAAAACCAUACAAUUUUUAAAAGUUUCAAAUAAAGAAGAAUUUUAGAAAUUAAGUAACUAAAUCUAUCUUAAUUUAUAUUUUUGUGACUUAUAUAAUUUUUUUUUGUGGCUUAGAUUUUUUUUUAUUGUAUUUGACUACUAAAAUUUCUUUAGCCUAAAUCUAAAUUGAUUAUUUUACUAUUAUAAGGUAGAAGAACCAAAAAUUUACUUUAAACUCGAUUUUUUUUUAAUUUUAUACAAAAUUUAUUAUUUCUAAAUGUUGUGACGGAGGGGGAUAGCAGAAGCGGAUUGAUAAUAUAGAUAAAUAUUAGAUAUCGUUCUAGUACUAGAUUAAGCCAAUACGAUUAGAUUACAUUCUAAUCAAAUUGUGAUUAGAUCUCGUUCUAUUCCAAACAAAUCAAUGAGAUUUUAACAACGCUUUAAGCGAGAUCUGAUGACACUCUAAUCCAAACAACUUUACAAGAGAGAUUUUGAUAGUUAAUCCCAAAGGAUUUUUUAAUUAAUUAAAAGGUAAUGAAAACAAUAACAAGACUUCGGUAUUUAUAACAGAGUAAACCUACUUCCCCGUGUUGACAUGAAAUGGAAAUUAAAUAACAAUUAUAAUAAAAAUAAAAUAUUAGAACACAUAUUAUAAUUGACUCUAAUUAAAAAUGAAAAAUAUCAAAAGAUCUAAAAUAGCAAAAUGCUAGAAUCCUAAAAUAAUGUCCUACAUCAUUUUCCUCUCUUAAAAAGAAACUUAUCCUCAAGUUUUCCUAGACGACGAAAAUUGAAGUGAAGUAGCAAUGCAUCUUAGAGCUUGAACUUAAAGCCUUUUUAAUCAAUUGUUCUUGAAACUCAAUACUCUCCAUGCUUCAUCUUUUUCUUGCACUUAUAACUCUUCAAGAAAAUGAAGUCUUGAAUGAAUGAAUCACUUCCAAGCCUCUCAAGUCUUUUGUUGAAUGUCGCUCAAUGUUCUCGCUAAUAAGCUUUAUCUUUGCAGCCAAAUCUUCUUUAACAAUAACUGUCUUAUUUUCAAUGUGGAUAUGCAUAAUCACAUCUAUCAUUGUUGAGGUCUCUUUAACUUGAUUUUGCUGCACAAACCCGAUUAUACUAUUUGGACUUGAUGCUUAAAUCAAGAGUAAAUUGUAUCUCUUCUUUAAAAAUCUCAUAUAGAUCAAUAAUCUCAUUAUCGUCUACAUUCAUCGCCGUAAAAAGAGAUGGUUCGACAUUAUUACAAAAUGGUCUUCCAUCAAUUGUCUCAUAUCAAACCAUUUUCUAAUUUCAUUUUACCCUUGUCAAAUCCUUAACUCUUGUAGUUGUUCCCACCAAUCUAAAGCAUCACCUGUCAACUUAAAUGAUGCAUGAGAGAUAGCAACUUUUGAUAAGAGAGUUUGAGUUUGAAGAGGAUCAUCCAUCAUGCAAAUUCAAUAUAAAAUAUCAUUAUGAUUGUCAUCAAAAUCUGAGAUAUCUUUAAACUCAAGGAGACAAUAUGAACCUUGCUCUAUCUUUAUCAAUUUUUUCUCAAAUUAAAAUUACAUCCAAUGGCAAAACUAUAAAAAAAACCUGACUUUCAAGGUUUGGCGCUACCUAUAGCCUGGUGGCCGUGAUUUGGAGUAGAGAUGGUUAGAUCUAGAAGCUAUGAUAGUAAAGAGCACGAUGAUAACUAUAGAUUGGUCAGACUUGCACUGGUUUGUCGUGAAAUCCGACCUGAACUGGCGACUGUCUAUGGUGAUGUGGAUUACGAUUUUAGCGUUGUUAUGCAAUGGUUCUCGGUUAAUGCUGGACAAUGGCAUUGAAAAAUAUUUUGGCGACUUAAGGGGAGCCAGACAGAGGUGACAAUCGACGAAAAGGGUGGUGGUUUCACGACGGCAAGUUGGUGGAGUGCUUGCCAGUUGGGGUGAUUUGUAACAAUUACAAGUAGCGGUUAAGGGCGAGGUUGGUUGGGGUUUGGUCGGUAAUGGGCUGACGACUCUGAUGGUUGCAGUGCUUGGCGGUGAUGGUUGCAAGAUUGUGAAGAUAGUGGUGGCGGCGGCGUUGUUUUUCAAUCUUGGUUUUUUAUUUUUUAUUUUUUUAUAGUGAUGGAUUCGAUGAGGAUGAAUAUAGGAAGCAGGAAAAGCUUUGCUACUGAUAGAGAAUUGCUUUGAUAGCAAUUGACAGAGCGAGAUAGCAGAAGUAGCUUAAUAAUAUAGAUAAACAUUAGAUAUAGUUUUAGUAUCGAACCAAGCCAAUGUGAUUAUGCUAUGUUCUAAUUAAAGCAUAAUUAGAUCUCGUUCUAAUCCAAAUGACUUAAUGAGAUUUUAACAACACUUUUCAAGUUUAGACGAUGUUUUAAUAUAUCUAAACAACUCUACAAGAGAGAUUUUGAUAGCUAAUUCCAAAAGAAUUAUAAAAAAGAGUUUUUUUUAAUUAAUUAAAAGAUUAUAAAAACAAUAACAAGAUCUCCCUAUUUAUAGUAAACAUAUCUACGCAAGUUAACUUAAAAAAUAUAAUUAAAUCACAAUUAUAAUGAAAAUAAAAGAAUAAAAUAUAUAUCAUAAUUGACUUUAAAUAAAAAUAGAGAGAAUGAAAAUACCUAAAAUAAUAAAAUUUUAAAAUCUUAAAAUAAUGUCCUACUUCAUCAUGUGUCAAUACUAUUUUAUUAGUAUGAUUAUUAAUCUUUAAUUAAACUAACAUAAAGUCUUUAUGGCACAAUACUUGUAUAAAUUAUUGGACUAUCAAAUUUAUGUAAUGUACAUGUAGGGUAUUGAAAAUUAUUAGAUUUUAUUUAAAACAUUAGUUACAAGUAAAAAAAUUAAAUACCUAAAUUAUUAUAUACAAGAACACAUUUAUUGGGUAAUUUGUUUAUUGUAUGUCAUAAGGGUAUUAAGACUUAUGUUAAUGUAACUUAAAUGAUCAAAGAAACCUAAACAAGAAAAUAGUUAUAAAAAUGAUUUAAUUGAUUAGUUAUAAAAAAUUUAUUGUUGAUUCAUAUUUAUUAGAAAGUGAUAUAAGCUUAUUAUAAAUGUGCUCUGGAACUGGGGUGCGUUUACAUGGAUAGUAAGGUGAAAAUAUUCCCACAGCCCCACCAAUUACUUCCCCUUAAUUCACCUGGUUGACAAAAAAAAAAAAUUAUUUAAAUUACGACAAAUAUAACAUAUUUAUAUUAAAAUAAAUAUCAAGUUAAUAUAUUAUAAUUAAUCAAAUAUUUAAACGUGUAAUAAAUAGGCUAGCGUAUUGGAAUAAAACUUUAAACUUAAACCCGACAAGAUUAGGAAAUGAACUUACUGGCUCGUGUUGUGUUCACAUUGGAUUCUCAUAUCGCUGACCCUUUCCCCACACGCAUUCGUUCAACGUACUUUUUCGCAAUUAUUGACGUUGUUUUUUUCGUAGACUAAUAAGUUAAGAACGUGUUUGAUUGAAAAUGGUUACCAGUCACGUCUUAUCAAAUAAAGGGGAGUUACGUGCCGCUGUAUUUUUGCCCGUGACUUGAAAUUUGGUAUAAUGGUAACAAAAAUAUUGUUAUAUUUUUAUUCGGAUGUGACAUUGUUUUUAUCAUUAUGGCAUGCAUCUUUUUCUUAAGAUUCUUUAUCAUUUUCUAGGAGCUGUAAUAUUCCUCGGAACCAUAGAACCAUACGUAAUUGCAUACUUGCGUCUGUAAUUAAGAACACCUACCCAGAGAUUUGUUCCCUUCAAUUCAUUGGUACAACAAUUUCUCUCAAGUUAAUUAUAAUCAUGAUGGGGCUCUUAAUUCACAAUUGAUUGAAUUGGUCUGAUGAUUGUUUCAUAUGGCAAAAAGUAAAGCUCAAAUCAAACGUAACUUGGAGAAAAUCAAAGACUUCAUCAUUUUCAUGUUUUUAUUGGGUCUCAUAGUUUUUCCUUGUUGGAAAUUUCGAACGUGAAAAGAAGUUUAAAACUUUUAUUAGUUUAUACAUGAACUGAUAGUCAUGGCCGAGAUAAAUCUGAAUUUCCAUUUUUAUUAUGGAUAAUUGGAUAUGGAUACAGGUGGGAUGAAUCAUCCAACCCAUAUAUGCCCCGUUGCUACAACAACUAACCAAUAACAACAAUUGCUUGAUUAAUGUUUUGUUUGAAGACUUCAAUCAAUUUUGAUUCAACCGAGAUCAUAACUUUGUCAACAAUCCGUUGGUGUGAUAUGAUGAUGAUGAUUAUUAUUAUUAUUAUUGUGUAAUUGCUUUUUUUUUAUAUAAUUAUUUUGUAAUUGUUAGAAAGAAAGAAAAAGAAAAUUCUUUGAAGUGAUAUUUGUUGAAGUUUUCGUUUUUCAAUUUCUUGCAUAUUUAAUGAUUUAAAUGAUGUGGGAAUUUCCUCAAGCAAAAAAAAAAAAAAAAAAUUAAUAAAAGAUGUGUGAGAUAUUCUACAGAGUAUUGAUCAAGUGUGCGAUUAGAGGCGUGAUUACACGUGUGUGAGGAUAUAAAAUGUGGAGCUGCUGAGUGCUGACCCUACGAGUUCGUUAUUUGAGAUCUUGACAUGCAUGCAGUCGCACUUGAUAAAAUGCGUGAGUGUUUGCACCUGAUUAAGAUUGAUAUUCAAUGUGACAAUCAGCACAAAGAAAAAUUGACAUGCCACGUAUUUGUAAUUAAAUUCCCUUAGAUAUUCUUCUGUGAAUGUGUGACAUGUCAAACACGGAAUUUUGAAUGUUUUUAUUGUAUUGUUGAUGAGUUCUACUUUUUCUACUUGAAAAUUAAACGGCCUUCAAACAUUCAACAAGUUUUUAUUUAAUCUACUUUGUAUUUAAAAAAAAAAAAUCAACUUUGUAUUAAUCUUUGGUUAAACUACACAAAACCUGCUUUAAACAGUUCACUUGAAAUGCUUUCUUGAGAAGCAUCUAAUAAAUACUCUUAUCCAAAAAGAAAUUUUGGAGAUACAAAUAAGAAAAGCACUUAAAAAUUUGAUGCUUUUAGAGAGAGCAUGAUGUAGGACGUUGUUUUAGGAAUUUUAAGAUUCUAGAAUUUUAUUAUUUUAGGACUUUGUAUUUUAAUUAGAGUCAAUUAUGGUAUUUUAUUAUUUUAGAACUUUUUAUUUUCUUUAGAGCCAAUUAUAUGAUAUUUAGUUAACUUAGGGAAAUAUCUUUUAUUUUUAUUAUAAAUGUGAUUUAAUUUCCCAUUUUUAAGUUAACUUAGGGAAAAUAUAUUUUAUUUCUAUUAUAAUUGUGAGUUAGUUUUCCUUUUUAUGUCAAUUUAGGGAAGUGGGUUUCCUCUAUUAUAAAUAGAGAGGUAUUAUCACUGUUUUAAGAACUUUUUUUUUUAGAUUCAAUUAUUCCAUAAACUUUUAUUUAGAAAUUUGUUUUCUCUAUCUUCUUUACAAUUCUGCUUCGUCACAUCAUAAAUUGAAAUUAAUGUUUUUCCCAUGACUUCUGCCCUUAACAACUCUAACUAGUAGUAAGAAAUUUGAUUGUACAACUUCAUUUAGAAGGGGUAAUUUUAAAUUACCUCUCAUGAAAUGAUAAUGUUUAAAAUGCUCUUAAAUUAUUAUAAAUAUCAAUUUAUCUCCAAUUUUGUUAAGAAGACAAAUAAAUUUUCAUCGACCCAUUCCUAUUUUUUCUUUAUCUUUUGAACAAAAUGAAAAAAAAUUAAAGUUUACAAUAAUUUGAAUAGUUUUCUGGUCAUUCAAUGCGGAGGGUAAUGUGAAAUUUACCGUUUCUAGAAUUAAUUUGAGUGAAAAGUUGUGUCAGUAUUGGUUCACUUCAAUGGUGGUUGAUAUGUAAACAAACUGUUGGCUACCAGCAACCAGCAAUUUUUUUUUUUUCUACAAAAGGGCUCUAAAAAGAGCUAAGGAAAAACAAAACGUCGGUAAGCUACCCCAUACAUGUCAUGCUGAAGGUAAGCAAUGAUACCAGGAGGAGAAUUUGGGAACAAAUGAAGACCCAAAGGAAAAGAUAGGCCAUGAUUUGCUAAGAAGUCCGCUGCAAAAUUAGCCUCCCUGUAAACAUGAUUAAUGGUAAUGCGCCAGCUGCGACUAAUGAGAUCUUUAAUUGACUUAAUCAAAGGAGAGAGCUCAUUAGAUGUGAUCAUAGGAGUGGUGACUAGGUGGAGAAUACAGAUGCUGUCAACUUCAACUUGUAACCAUCGGAUCCCAUUUUGCCAAGCAAUAUUUAAACCUUGAUAUAGGCCCCAAAGCUCAGCUACUGUAACCGAGCACGAUCCAAUAUUCAUUCCAAAGAGGGCCAGCCAAGCCCCAUUAUGAUCUCUGAUAAGACCGCCUGCACUUGCUUCCCCUGUCUUUUUCGCAGCACCAUCAGUAUUUAACUUACACCAAGGCCAGAAUGGAGGAGACCAACAUAUCCACUUCACAACCCGGCCAUUAUUCAUGCCCAUCGGUGUGGUACUAAUCCGUUGAAAUUCUGUAGCUUUUAUCUUGACUUCAGAUAUCAUAGUAGCACAAUCCCAAGUCAUGCCAUGAAAUAAAAAUUUAUUACGCCAAGACCAGAGACGCCAUAUAGCUACCCCAAAGAAAAUAUUCCAACUGAGAUCUGAUCCAACCUGGUCCGCGUUCGUCAAGUUAUAGCUCAUCCAGUCUUUCAAGUUCAGAGAGAAAAAAUAUUGACGUUGAUGUAUCGGGAGGAUGGCGUACCAAAAUCUCCUAGCUACCAUGCAGUCCCGUAACACAUGCAAAGUAUUCUCAUCUCCAUCACCGCAACGAUCACAACUGCUAUCUAAGUGAACAUGUCUUCUUGAAAUCUCAGCUUUUGUUUUCAAUCUAUUAUGCAACACCAACCAAAGGAAAACACGAAUACUUUGAGGACCAUUCCAACGCCAUACACAGCUCCAUAUUUGAUCAUCCUCUCCCUUAAUCUCUUUGGAAAGAGCAUCAUAUGCUGAUUUUACAGUGAAAUUUCCUUUUUUAGAUUCAGACCAAAAAAUCUGAUCUUCUCCAUAGCCUUCCAUUGGUGGUCGAAAUGAGGCAAUUCGGAGAAAUAUUGUUGGGGAUGAGGCAGCCACCAGAAAUUUGAUAGUAUUAUAAACUCCCAUUUCAAAAUUGCAAUAGUCCUGAAACCACAACGCCACUAUACGAAACUGAGCCUUAGAAGUUAUAUGCUGAAUGUCUUUAACAUUUAUGUUGAGAAAGAAGAAAAGAAGACAGAAUGAGAAGAAAAUAUACACACAGCAUUCAAGCAUAAUUCUCUAAUCUGAGUUACUACAAUAAUCAGUCGGAAUCCACACUGAACGGAUAGAGGUCAACUCCAGACGUCGAAGAACCUGUAGGUGGCCCAUAAAUUGACGACUUGCUUGGUAUAGUACUUGCAGUUUUUUCUAUGCUGAAUUGGUAAUAUCUCCUCAUUGCUUCUGAUUUGGUUUCAUCAAUGUCUGAGACAUUUGAAUCUGGAGCUAAAUCUGGAACAUCAACACCGCAUUCGAGCAUGCUUAAGACCGAAGACAUCGAAGGCCUAUUCGUAGGAGAAGCAUUGGCACACAGCAGAGCUACAUUGAUCAUCACCAUCACUUGUUCUUUGUCAAAAUUUGAACCAAGAUCUGUAUCAACUAGCUCCAUUAAAUUUCCUUGCUCUUUCAAUACAAGCGCCUGAUUGAAAAGAAGUUGAAACAACAUAUAUUUGGUUGGUGAUAAAUUCAAGAUGAAACAAUGCAAAACGAGAGAUUGUAGGAGCCUAAAUGUUACCCAAUCCAGAAGAUAAAUUUUAUCCUCCUUUGUCCUUGAAAAAACGUUGCUUCUACCGCUGACAAUUUCCAAGGCAACAAUUCCGAAACUAUAGACAUCUGCUUUCUCUGUUAAAUGGCCCCGUGUUGCAUAUUCUGGUGCCAUAUAUCCACUGCAAGGUCGUGAAUUUGAAUAUUAAAUUGAUAAUGUAUGAGAAGGAAAGUGGAAAACAUUGAUGAGAAAUUAGUAUGCAGCGACUCACAUUGUUCCGGCAACUCGGGUGCUUAUGUGGUGUUAUCUUCUUCAUCCAGCUUGGCUAAACCAAAAUCAGAUAUUUUAGGGUUUAAGUCCUUAUCAAGAAGCACAUUGGUUGCUUUGAUGUCUCUAUGCACAAUCUUUAUCCUUGAUUCUCCAUGUAGAUAAGCUAAACCUCUCGCUAUACCGAGGCAAAUCCUGCGCCUUGUUGGCCAAUCCAACUUCAACCGAUGCUCUUCAGGACCUUCAAAUCAUUCAAGAAAGACGAUACAUGACUAGAAUCUAAUACCACAUAUGUAUGUAUGUGUGAUUUAUGUGCAAACCGAUACUGUGUAGUUGAAAUAUAUACCAAACAUGGCUCGAGCAAGGCUGUUGUUUUCCAGGUACUCAUAAAUAAGCGACAAUUGAUUUCCUUCCAUGCAACAUCCAUAAAGCUUUACAAGAUUAGGGUGUUGCAAAGCAGAAAUCAUGCCAAUCUCAUUAAUGAAUUCUCGAUUUCCUUGCUUUGAUUUGGAAGAAAGUUGCUUGACUGCAAUCGCUGUGCCAUCUGCCAAAAGUCCCUGCAUUUUUAAGAAAUGCAGUCAGAUUUGAAAAACAAAAAGGAAUUGUUUCGAGCAAAACACACCUUGUAAACAGGGCCAAAACCGCCUUCUCCAAUCUUGUUAUCAGGAGCAAAGUUGUUUGUGGCAGCUUUAAUUUGCUUCAAUGUAAAAGAAGCAGUAUGCAAGUCUACACCCCGCAGCUCUGUGGAAGAAAUUACUGGGUUAAUAAAAAUGAAACAUAAGCAUAACAAAAUGAUCCGUAAAAUCAAGAUAUCGUUAUUUUCAUAAUCUUUUAAAGACUUGAAUUAGAGAAUUAUUUAUUUGUAAGAAAUAUUUGUUAAUUAAUCAGUGCACUACCUCGUUCCAGAGUAUUUUCUGGUCUAAAACAGCCCUUCCACUGAAGGAUACCCACCACAACUAGGAUUAUCAAAAAUGCUGCAGCCACUGCGAUUCCAAAUGCUUUGCCUACUGAUAUACUACUGCUUCCAUCUUCUGAUAUACUACUGCUUCCAUCUUCUGACGGGGGUGUGAAAUCUGCUUCACAUAGAAAGUUACACAUCUCUCCAAUGUGAGGGUUAUCUAAUUGAAAAUCACUUAAAUACAAGGAAUUCCCGUAGAAAUAACCUUUGGGAAUUUGUAAAAUCUAAGGCACUUAAGAAAUGGGAAAGUAUCAAAUUAGAUGAGAGAAGCCUUGAGUUAGUAUUAAACCUACCAGGAUUGAGAGAAAUUGCUGAUAUGAGGGGACCAUAAUCUCCUUUAAAAGGAAUUUCAGUUGUCCCUUUCCCAGCCCAAUAUAGACGGAUCUCCAUGGUCCCGUUGGUCACGGCCGCAGAAAAUGGUUUUACAAUUGCUUUACCAACGCCGCCAGCUUCAUUCUCAAUGUUCAAAUCCUUCAGCACAAGAUUCCCCUGGAACCAUAUUUCCAAUUAACUUAAAUUUUUAUGCAAGUUAAAGUAAAAUCCAAGAUGGAGAAUAUCUAUUACAUUCUUUUUUUAUUUAAAGAAGUUUUUGUGAAAUCCAAAAGCGAAUCCAUGAGAGUAAUUAUGUGUGCAUUAAGGUCAACCCGACUACAUCUAACAAGCUUGUUGGACUCAAGCUGUUAUGUAACAGCUUUCUGAAUCCCAACCGAAAUUAAAAUCUACAUGAGGAUACACUGGAAACGAUUUGCUAGCUCAAUAUUCAAGAAAAGAUUUAGAAUCAACCAUGAUUGGUGGUGCUGAGGUAGUAUUAAAUAUUAGUCACCUGAAUGUAAACAUCAAAUAUGCGCUUUCCAAAACUGCUAAAAUUUUUGUCAUCAGUGAACAGUAUCUCUGCAAAGUGAAGUUUGACUGUGUAGUUUCCAUUCCCCAGACAGAAUCCAUAGUAGGUUAGAGAUAUGGCAGAAAGGCGGGCGUUUGUGUAUAAUUGAGAAUCGCUCAUCAAAAGUCUAGACGUAUUUGUCUGAAUAUAAGUGUCUGUUUUGAUACUAUUAUCCAAGAAGUGACCAGUGCUGCUUAGCCCCCAAUUUGUUCUACUUAGAGUAAAUGUUGAAGGCCCUGCCUCAUACGUAUCCUCUUCAAAUGCUGUAUCUCCAUUGGCAGUCACUUCACUCCCGCCACAGUUUAUAUGAAGCGAGUAGUAGUAAGCUAGAACAAAAACAACAGUGAGCAUCCAGUGUACAAGUAAAAACUUUUAAAAGCCAAGUAACAACCAAUGAAUUUUAGCAGCAGAUGACUUAGCGUAGUAUUGUUGUCCAAGGUAGUCAAAGUUUUGGGUUUGAAGGAAUUACCUCAAAUUAGAAGCUAAUAUAAAAAAAUGCGACAAACAUUUAGUAUGCUAAAUAAGAUAGGAGCUGCGGGAAAUUAACUGGUCUUUUCCAUGUUUUUGUCAAUUAUAAGAUUUUUUUCAUCAGGAAAAUUCAAUGUAUUUAUGAAAGAAUAUUUCAGAUCAUGACUUACUUUUUGGGCAUUGGACGCUUCUCAAGCAUGAUACAAUUCCGGUGCUGGAAAGAUGUAACGUAAAGGUCAGCAUCAUAACAGCAUAACAUAUAAUCGAAUUUUGAUAAACUCGCCAGAGCAAUAUAUAUCCAGACAAUGCCAAUACCCAAUUAACUUAAAACCAAAAAGCUUCUAUUAUGCAUUUCAAUAUGUUAUAACUAGAUAGUGAAUUGAAAACUUACGAGUUAUUGCCCUUUGAGAAGCUGGCAAACAAGUUCCUAGAGAAUUGCACAAAGUAUAAAGCUUAGUCAGUGUAUUGAAGAUAGUUUAUUGAUGGAGGUGCUUAAAAGCUUCAAUUAAUAGUAUUCUUACACGCUUCGCUUUUGGCAGCUCGACUCUGCGCUUCCAUCAGUGAAAUUAUUAUAUGAAAGAUCUCUGCAAACAGUGUUUUAUGUGACUCAUCGUCUUCCAGAAUGCAAAAAAUUGCACCAAGAGUGCGAAGGGGAAGCUUACAUUUUGUCUCCUUUUUCAAGCAUCCAAGGAGGUAUCGCUCCAGUUAGCAAAUUUCCGGUGAAGUAUCUAUAGCAAAUUAUAAUAACAAAGCAGUAAAAGAUGUCAAACAACCCACGCUUAGAAGAGGGAAAUUUGCAGUAAGAAAAUAAAAUGCUUACAUGUAAUCCACUUCGUAUAGAUCAUCGAAGUUGCUUGGAAUAUGUCCGCUUAGUUUAUUAAAGCUGAGAUCCCUGAAAGAAAAUUCAUAAAAGAAUCAUAAAUUAACUGAAAUUUCCCCGUAUGUAUACCUGCAGAUAAUAAAGAACGUUUGCACUAACAAGACUUUCAAUGUUGUCAUUUUCCCAAGAUAAGGAGGCAGCUCUCCUGUGAUAUUACAAUUCCUCAAUAUCCUGCCAUGACAGGAUCAAACAUUAAGAGAUCUUUCAACAAGCCAAAAGAUGAACAAAAUUUCUAUGAAUUGGAUACUUACAAGUUCGUCAUCUUCUUAUUACCAAGUUGGGGAAAAGUUGCUUCAGGUCCAUUCAGGUCACUAAUUCUCCUGCAUCGUGAAAUUCAACAAAAACCAAUAAGCCUAGUAUCAGUCAAAUACAUUAUGCACAUGAGUAACAAAAAUAGAAAAACCAUACAUACAAGUCAGUUAAAUUUUUCAGAGAAAAAAUGCCAGAAGGAAUUGGCCCAACCAAACCGCUUGGCUGAAUGAAUCUGUUGAUACAUGUAAUAUUUAUUUCAUUAGUCACCAUACGCAUAAUUUAUUGUUAAUAAAAUAAUGAAUUAAGGGAAAAAAAAAACUAGCUCUUACAGUUUUUCAAGCUUUGUCCAGUUCUGAAUAAAACUAGGUAUUUGUCCUGUGAAUUGGUUAUCACCAAUUCGACUGCAUCAUUUGGGAUAACAAAAGAAAACAUAAAUAAAUUAAUGACCAUUUACUGUUUUAAACACACGCAAGAUGCUAAAUUGUUCAAGAAGCAGCAUAGCUGAGAUUAGCACUGAAUCCAAAUUCAAGAAAGAAGACUGUGAAAGAGUACGAAAAAUCAAAAGCUUACAAAUCCUUCAUAUUGGUCAACUUAGCAAAUGUUUUAGGCAACUCCCCAGUAAAAUUAUUUGAACUAAGAUGUCUGUAACAAGAGCAAUAACGAGCCGAGUUAUCAAUCUAAUAAAUGUAAGUUUUUUCUUCAGGAUUUUGAUUUGGAAUAAAAGGGUCAUACAAGUUUAUAUGAAUCUCGUAUCCCUUACAGUUUUUUCAAGAUUGAGUAGACUACCAAGCUCCUCAGGCAGUUCUCCUGAAAACUGAUUGUAUUGGACGGUCCUAUUCAUUUUACCGAACAUAAAAGAAUCAAUUAAAACAAGAUUAAUAUUUUUCUAAAAUCGAAAGGGGAAAAAGAGAUACGAAAAUAAAAACUCACAGAUUGACAAGUGUGGAAAUAUUUGCUAAAUAUUUUGGGAUUGGACCCGUUAGCCGGUUUGCUAGGAGGGAACUGAAACAAGAAUCCCAUAUGUGUUAGUUUAAAUGUAAAAUAUCUUCUGUUCAUCUAAAUUAAAAAUGAACAUCACGUUUACAUUCAUGAAGCAAGAUAACCAGAAAUUGAGCUACGAAUUGAAGGAAUUUGCAGGUGGGAUGAGUGAGACAUUAACUCUGAUACUAUAUUUUAAAAAUUAUUUAAUUUAAAAGAUUUAGUUGAUAAGUAAGGGUUUAAAAAAAUAUUAAAGGUUGAUCUCAAAUUCUUUAUUAUAUAUGUUAUCAAUCUCCCGUAGUUACUUAUAUAUGAUUUAGCAAAAAAUAGACAGCUGCAAAGUUAUAUUCUUUGUAACUUACAGUUGACCCAAAAUUAGUUUCUCAAGACCCGUAAGAGUUUGACAACAAACUUUACAUUUUGAAUAAUAACUGAUUUUGAAUUGACGUAAGUUAGAAAUGAAAUGACUUAUUAGUAAGACCAACCAAAAAACCGUCCGCAUUAGAGAAUUUUCAUAAGUACACUACAUAAUAUAGUAAAGAAAAAGUAUGACAUACAUAUUAAGAAGUGGCAGAGAGGCCCAUUCUGAAGGGAUAGUGCCACUAAGGUAGUUGCGAGGGAGACUACUGUUCAUGUCAGACAGUUAAUUAAUUUCGUUAAUUAUAUAUGUAACAAAAUGAACAUAUGUAAAUGUCUAAUGGGAAAAUUUACAGUUAAUGAAGGGUAAAAUUGGAAUGGCGAAGUGCUUACAUAUCUUGGAGGAAAGUCAGUUCGGCCAAUUUUGGUGGGAGAACUCCUGUGAGAUUCUGCUCCUUCAGAACUCUGUUUGAGAUGAAAAGUAUGAGACUUGAUUUAUUACUUAAAAAAGGAAAAAAAAAAAAAAGGCAAGUGAAUAAUAUAGAUAAACAAACAAAUAAUGCAGGGGCGUUUGGUUACUUUGAUUUGGUACCGUUUUUGGUUUACCGUUUUCUGUUUUCCAGAAAUGAAAAAUAAGAAACGUGUUUAGUGGCACCAUUUCUCAGCCUGUUUUUUUAUCAGACUGAAAAUGAGUACAACUCAUUUUUCACCAUCAUCAAAGGAAAAGAGAAAAAUGAUAAAAUAUUUGUUUGCAUAGAUAUCGCAUAAUUCUUCUUUCGAGAUUCGGCCACACAUCUGAAAACAAACAAUUGUGUACGAUCAAACAAUUUGCCGCCCCCCCCCCCCCCCCCCGGAACUAAAAAAAGAAGAGUUNNNNNNNNNNNNNNNNNNNNNNNNNNNNNNNNNNNNNNNNNNNNNNNNNNNNNNNNNNNNNNNNNNNNNNNNNNNNNNNNNNNNNNNNNNNNNNNNNNNNAAAUUUUUUACAUGGUUCGACAAAUUAUCUUCUGUGCUGUGUCCUGGCUUCUAAAAAAAAAAAAAAAAAAAAUGUAAAAAAGCUCACUCUACUAUUUUAAAACGUUGUGGUUUAAUAGGGUGUAUAUGUCGUUUUUUCUAUUAUUAAUUACUGUUUACAAAAAAAUUUAUGUUUAAUAUUGAGCCGAUCUGUACUCAACUCUUCAUACGUACAGAAUAUAUGAUUAAAAUGUAAUUAGUUUUAUAUUCUUGUCUAACUAUUAAUUGUGUAUUACUGAAUCUAAAUCCACGCAAAAAGCUUUAUGAGAUAGAGAUAGGGACAUAUAAAUGUACGUACAUACGGAAAACAUGGCAAACGGUGCCGUUAGAGAAGGAGCAAUUGCAGGUGACAGCAUU